rnacentral:lncRNA from 1 species
GCGUGGGCUUCUUGCUGUGGCGUCAGCUGGUCCUUUCCUCUCAGUUGACUUACAGAGACUGGUUACUGUUGGAGCUAGAAGUUCAGCCGGAAGCUGAUGCUCUUUCAGACACAGAAAGGUGGGCCUUCCAGCAGUGGGCCAUCCACGAGCACUUCCUCCCCGCGCCCGCCGCAGCGGGGGGCUGCCACGGGGACCUGGACACCGCCUGCACCGUCCUGGCAGACGUGCUCAUGGACUUCUGGCAAAGUUCACGGAGUGAUGACCACUCGGAGAAUUCUGACUCGGGUGUCGGUGGCUACC